rnacentral:tRNA from 2 species
CCUUCGAUAGCUCAGUUGGUAGAGCGGUGGACUGUAGAUUUGAGUGUGUAAAUAGUAAUCCAUAGGUCGCUGGUUCAAAUCCGGCUCGAAGGA